CCUCCUUGUAAACGGGGUUCUCAUCUGCGCCUGUCAAUCAAGGUACCAACAAGCAGGGUGUGUUUGCCACCUCUGCCCUCCCUGUGCAGAACAGUCGUCCCAAGCAACAAGUGUACUGUGUGUGGACACACAACUGCAGGCUUUUUACACAAGGUUAAGCAACAAGUUCACUAACAAGCAUUAAGAAUGUCCUAUGACAGGAUUUUGUGCAUCCAAAAUCUGAACGAGGCUUCAAAUCCUUGGAAGGGCUUCACUAUGAACCGCUGCCUUGUGGUGGCACUGGUCGUGCUGCUUGUGGGUGCAGGGGUCCAUCAAUUUCACAAUGCCGUUGACAUGGUUGUAGAAGAGACAGGGAUAAGGUCUUUCAUCGGAAGUAUUCAAGACGGUUCAAUAACUCAGAUCUCCUUGUGGGACAAGUUCAUGUCGUGGUGGGGAUCAGAAGAACUCGGAGCGAUAAGGAGACGGAAAAAGCCCAUGGGGAGUAAAGCGGUCCUGAAACCUAAAACGGCUAAACAAUGAUGCAUU